rnacentral:misc_RNA from 1 species
AAUUCUCAACUUCAAAUCCUUUGUUGGAUUUUUGAAGCUUGGAUUAUGGAGGUAUCUUUGCCGGCAAUUACUUGUCAGCUCCUCUUAAAUGCAUUAGCAGAACUUUAUUAAAGUACUAGCUCUAGUUUGAUAAUUAUAUAUCUAUGCUAUUGCUAUGGACUUGUCUGUUCAGCUUCUAAUGGUCUUCGGACUGUCUCUUUAGAGGCAUAUAUUUAA